GAGACGAAAGGGAAGAAAUAGCAAAAGGAGGCGUGCGGAAUUAUCGCUUUUCUUUUUAUCCAUUCAGAGGGAGACGCAGCUUUCGUUUAUUUUGUUUCUUGUCCAUUAUUUAUUUAUUUAUUUAAAUAACUAAAAAAAUAUCCUCUGCUUCUCUUCCUCAUUGCACCCUUACGUUAUGCCCUUUCCAAAACUCAAUCCAUCAACAUCUCUCUCUCGAUGAAUCUAGGGUUUUGUAACAGUGAAUCUUCACCACCACAGGAGACAAUGUGAAGAAAUUUUUCAUUACAAAAGAAGCGGAAAGCUAAUCUUCCAGUAGUAUGGCAACUGAGAGUCCAAUUAGAAUCUCAGAAGCUGGGGGUAAAUGGCCGUCUCUUAAGGAAGCAGCAGCUUUUGGUCCACCAUCUCAUUCUGUGGUGACAGAGGAUUUGGGUUUAUUUCUGAAGGGCCAUAGGCUCCAUGGUGGUGGAAAGGAUGUGGCACCCAGUCGCAGUGGCAGUGCACCUCCCAGCAUGGAAGGUUCAUAUCUGGCCAUAGAAAACCUCUUACCCCUGCAGAACACCACCCAGAACGCAAGCUUGGCCACUCUAAGCAGAGCUAUGCAAACAUGUGAGUCUGAAGAACAAUUACGAGCUGAUCCGGCUUAUUUGGCAUAUUACAGUUCCAAUGUCAACCUUAACCCUAGACUUCCUCCACCACUUACAUCCCGGGAAAACCACCAUCUAGUGCGUCAUAUUGGGAGUUUUAGAAAUAAUUGGAGGCUGUGUUCCACAGAUGAUAGCGGUAAAAAUUCUUUACCUUUGCCCCAAAGGACUCUUUCAACACACAAGGAGGAGUCUGAAGAUGAUUCAUCACAACAACAGCCAAAUGCUAAUGAAAUAGUUAAGACAAGUGGAAUAUGGCAUAAACCAGAUGCAGCUUCAUUGGCAUCUCAGCACAAAAAUGUGGUUGAUUUAAUUCAGGAAGAUUUUCCUCGCACCAUGUCACCUGUAUAUAAUAAGUCUCUUUCUCUAAGUCAUGGACUGGUGGAUAAACCAAUUGAUUUAGAAGCCAGUUCUAGUUCUUCCCAUGACCCCCUUGUUACUGCAGUAGUGGCUGCCAAACCUACUGUAGGUGCAGAUGAUAUAAGAGUAUCAUCAAGUGUUGAUACCCAUGCCCCUGUUGCAAGCUCAUCAUCUCUUGAAUCCACAGGCAGCAUUGGUGUUAGUGACUUGGACAUUGCAACUGUUGAUUCUCAACUAAAUGCUCUUUGUGUAUCUAAUCUACCAAAUUCAGAAAACUUGAGUUACGAAGAAAAAUGGAAGACCAACUACCAGAAUAAUUUGAUGCAACGCCAGGUAUUCCAGCAGCAAAACAAUACGUCUGAAGUUCCCAAUGCCAAUUAUCAAAGUGUAAAUUCUUUGUACGUUGGUAGGGAACAGUUUCCUUAUAAUUCCAGCAAAUUUUCUGAUGUCCAGCCCCUGUUGCAAUCAUCUGGGUUUACACCUCCCCUAUAUGCCACAGCAGCAGCUUAUAUGACUUCAGCAAAUCCACUUUACACUAAUAUGCAGGCCUCAGGUAUAUAUACUCCACAAUAUGUUGGUGGGUACACUUUAAAUCCCACAACUAUUCCUCCAUAUAUGGCUGCAUACCCUCCUCAUGGUGCUGUACCACUUGUUGUUGAUGGGGCUACUAGUUCCAGUUAUAGUCCACUAACACCAGGGGUUUCAACUGGGGGAAGCAUUUCGCAUGGAGCUGAAAUGGUACAGACAAACAAGUACCCUGGGCAAUUUGGAUUUCCACUGCAGCCUUCUUUUGGUGAUACUAUGUACAUGCAAUAUCAUCAGCAACCUUUUGUGGAGGGAUAUGGUUUUUCUGGUCAUUUUGAUCCAGUGGCACCUAGAGAAAGUGGUGGGAGCCAUAUUAGUCCUUAUGAUUCACAGAGAAGGCCAAGUACCGGUGCUUAUUUGGAUGAGAAAAAAUUACAUGAUCAGAGAACUGGUGCCAAUGUGACCUCAAGAAGAGGUGGAUUAUUGAUUCCUAGUUAUUUUGGACACAUGCCCAAUAUGGGUUUUGUGAUGCAGUAUCCGAGUUCACCACUUGCUAGUCCAGUUUUAUCAGGAUACCCAGAUGGAAGUCCUGGCCAACCAGGAGUUAGGAAUGAAAUGAAACUUUCCCCAGCUUCUGGUAGAAAUGGAGGCAUAAUAUCUGGAUGGCAAGGUCAGAGAUUGUUUGACAGAGCUCAUGACCCCAAAAUUGUUAAUUUUCUUGAAGACUUAAAAUCUGGCAAAGGUCGAAGAUUUGAGUUAUCUGAUAUUAUUGGACAUAUUGUUGAAUUUAGUGCUGAUCAGCAUGGAAGUCGGUUUAUACAGCAGAAGUUGGAAAGUUGUGGUGUUGAAGAGAAGGCUUUGGUGUUCAAAGAGGUUCUUCCACAUGCUUCUAAGUUAAUGACUGAUGUAUUUGGUAACUACGUAAUACAAAAGUUUUUCGAGUAUGGAGGCCCUGAGCAGAGGAGGGAACUUGCAGAUCGACUGUCUGGUCAGAUACUGCCGUUAAGUCUUCAAAUGUAUGGUUGUCGUGUAAUCCAGAAGGCACUUGAGGUUAUUGAGCUUGAACAGAAAGCUCAGCUUGUUCGUGAACUAGAUGGACAUGUUCUGAGAUGUGUUCGUGACCAAAAUGGAAACCAUGUAAUACAAAAGUGCAUUGAAUCUAUUCCAACCAAAAAAAUUGGCUUUAUACUAUCUGCAUUUUGUGGUCAAGUUGCUAUUCUAUCAAAGCAUCCCUAUGGUUGCCGUGUCAUACAGAGAGUUCUAGAGCAUUGCACAGAUGAGAGUCAAUGUCAGUUUAUUGUGGAUGAAAUAUUGGAAUCAGUUUGUGCUCUUGCUGAGGACCAGUAUGGUAAUUAUGUUACCCAGGUACUUGGUCACCAUCUCUCCCAUACCAUAAUUUGACUAUUAGCUUCUGGUGUUUAUGGUUCAUAGUAGAAAGUAACUGUGACAAGUUGGAUGCAUGUGAUGUCCCUUUAUCUGUAUACAAUUAUAAAUUUGAGAAUCUACACAGGGGCUGCAUUGCAAAAAUUACCCAGACUUGUGGCUACAAGCCACCACACACUAAGCAUAAAUCUAUAACAGUCUAUGAUUUGUGAGUCUCAGCAGGUGCUACAUUGCAUGUCUUGGAGAGAGGAAAGCCUCAGGAAAGGAGCCAAAUUAUUAGCAAACUUUCAGGACAUAUUGUUCAAUUAAGCCAGCAUAAGUUUGCUUCAAAUGUUGUAGAGAAAUGUUUGGAGUAUGGUGAUGCUACUGAACGGGAGUUGUUAAUUGCAGAGAUACUUGGGCAUGAUGAACAAAAUGAUAAUCUAUUGACAAUGAUGAAAGACCAAUUUGCGAAUUAUGUGGUCCAGAAGGUUAUUGAUAUCUGUUCUGAAAAUCAGCGAGCAAUGUUGCUUUCUCACAUAAGAGUUCAUGGUCAUGCUUUGAAGAAAUACACUUAUGGAAAACACAUUGUGGCUCGGCUGGAACAUCAAUUUGGAGCAGAGAGUCAAAUACCCGGGUCAUGAUGAGCCUGAGAGGAAACCAUGGGUCGUCAGCAGUGCUGCUGUGGCAUGCAAACCCCACAGCUUCAACAUAUGUUCUAUUGAUUACUGGAAAUAGCUGAUACAUUGAUAGAUUCAACUAAUGAGUAAAACCUGCACCUUGAUUGCUUCCACAUUGAUGGCUUCAGGAAACAUUAGUGUAUGCAUCUAUACUAGGAAACUCAAUGUAAUUGUCAUUCAAAUAAUUGGUUCGCAUGAGUAUAAUUAUUUGGAAGGAAAGCCUUCCUGAUGUAUAAUUUGCUGGAUUUAUCCUACUUUGUGUGUGGUUUUCUUGGACAUAUAGAAAGUCAAGGAUUCUAGUAUUCUACUAGUCCUUGUCGCCUGAGCCCUGCUCCUUG